ensembl:lncRNA novel transcript
CCGCCUCAUUUCCCACUACUUCCCGCACUUUUACCCUUUUGCGGAGCCUGCCCUGCACCCUCCGAACCUGCGCCCCGCAGCGGCGUCCGCCGUCCGCUCUGCACCCCAGCUGCAGCCCGACCCAGAGCCAGAAGGAGACUCAGACGACAGCACUGCCCUGGGCACCCUGGAGUUCACACUUCUUUUUGAAGCGGACAACAGUGCCCUGCAUUGCACGGCUCAUCGUGCCAAGGGCCUCAAGCCAUUGGCCUCAGGCUCCGCGGAUGCCUAUGUCAAAGCCAAUCUGCUGCCAGGGGCCAGCAAGGCCAGCCAGCUUCGGACACACACCGUUCGGGGCACGAGGGUACCUGUCUGGGAGGAGACACUCACCUAUCACGGCUUCACCCGCCAGGAUGCUGAGUGCAAGACCCUUAGGCUGUGUGUGUGCGAGGACCCAUGGUACAGCGACAGUGGCAGGCACCUUCCCUGGGGGAGCUGCGGGUGCCCCUGAGGAAGCUGGUGCCAAACCGAGCCAGGAGCUUUGACAUCUGUCUGGAGAAGCGGAGGCUGGCCAAGAGGCCCAAGAGCCUGGACACAGCCUGUGGCAUGUCCCUCUAUGAGGAGGAGGUGGAGACAGAGGUGGCCUGGGAGGAAUGUGGGCACGUCCUACUGUCACUGUGCUACAGCUCUCAGCAGGGUGGCUUGCUGGAAUUCUUUUACUCAGGCCCACGGGAGGAGCUGGCCCAGAAGACGCUGCUGGUGUCUGUGUGGGACUAUGACCUAGGCACGGCUGAUG